GAUGAAGAACGCAGCGAAAUGCGAUAAGUAAUGUGAAUUGCAGAAUUCAGUGAAUCAUCGAAUCUUUGAACGCACAUUGCGCCCCCUGGUAUUCCGGGGGGCAUGCCUGUCCGAGCGUCAUUACAACCCUCAAGCUCAGCUUGGUGUUGGGCCCCGCCGCCCCGGCGGGCCCUAAAGUCAGUGGCGGUGCCGUCCGGCUCCGAGCGUAGUAAUUCUUCUCGCUCUGGAGGUCCGGUCGUGUGCUCGCCAGCAACCCCCAAUUUUUUUCAGGUUGACCUCGGAUCAGGUAGGGAUACCCGCUGAACUUAAGCAUAUAAUAAGCGGAGGA
rnacentral:misc_RNA from 1 species